rnacentral:rRNA from 1 species
AUGCUUCUCCUCCCGUCCCUUCUCCUUCCCCUUUCUCACAGCGGCCAUGGCGAUUGGCGGUGGUUGAUCUCAGGGACGGCAAGACGAUCACGGCGGCCGGAGAAAUCUCCUGUUAGGGUUUGUGCUCUCAUCAUGGAUGCUUGCGACAAACUGAAUGUGCGGUUUAAUUUCGGUGGGCAAUUUGUUCGAAUUGGACCUACUUUAGACUAUGUUGGUGGAGAUGAUGCAAUGUCAGAGAUUGAAAGGGAUAAAUUAUCUUUGCCAGAGAUCAAAGGAUUUCUUGGUGAUCACAUACCUUUCAAAGAAAGUAUGAAGCUUUACUUCCUGAUCCCUGGUAAAAAACUAGUGGAUGGCCUAUUAUUUUUGUGUGAUGAUGCUGGCUGUAUGAAGAUGUCUGAAUACAUAACUGAUGGAGGAGUGGCUGAGGUCUAUGUGGAGUACUUUGGGGAGCAAGAUGAUCAAAGUGCAAGUGACAGUGGUAGUGAUUUUGAAAAUGAGAUGGGCAAUGAGUUAGAUGGAGGGAGUGAUACAGAACCAGAUGCAGUCAUAACUGCAGAGGAAGAUGUUCAGAUAAUUAGUGGAAAUCCAUCAUCAUUGACUGCAAAAGAAAGUGUGCUUGUACCAAAUGAUAGUGGUGUUAUAACCCAGGUUAUUAGCAGCCCUACAAAGCACAAUUUCAGAAUGAAACAGAGGACUAAAAGUGCACAUGUUGAGAUACAGAGUUUACAAAUUGAGGCACAAAGUUCUCAGGAUCAGCUACAUACCUCUCAGGUCAUUAAUCCAGGAACACAUAGUGAUAAUGCAGCAGACCAACAUACAUAUGAACAUGAGAGUGAUGACAGUGGCUCUGCUAUUUCAGACAGUGAGGAAGAUGAUAGUGAUUAUGUGGCAGGAAGUGAUGAGAGUGGACUGGAAGAGGAAUAUGUUGAGCUAAGGGAACAAGCAAGGGCUUUUAAGAAGAGAAUUAGAGACUCAAAGAGAUGGGCUAAGAGAAAUCCAUCUGGUGCCGUUCCAAUAGAUCUAGUGGCUAAUGUGGAAGAAGUGGUAGGAGAAGACCACUUCGACUCAGAUGACGAAGAUUACUCAUACGAUGAGGACAGUGAUCAUGAAGGAGAAUUUGUUAGGAGGAAGACUAAGUUCCCAAGGUAUAACCCUAAGGUAGAUAUUCCACUAUUCUGCUUAGGAAUGGUUUUCAGGAGCAAGGAUCAGAUGAGAAAGGCACUAAUAAAAUAUGGACUCCUGACAUUUAGAAGUAUAAACUUCAUGAAGUCAGAAGAAGGGAGGAUUAGGGCUAAAUGUGGAUGGCCUGGAUGUCCCUGGACUAUAUAUGGUGCUUAUACUAGCAGGUGUUCUAGAUUCCAGGUGAUCACAUAUGAAGAUCAACAUGAGUGUGCACCUAACAGAGACAAUCAUCUUGUCACUGCAAAAGUUAUUGCUAGGAGAUAUGAGCAUAUCUUAAGAGCGAACCCCACAUGGAAAAUUGAUAGCAUUAAAGCCACUGUUUUGAAAGAUUUCUUUGCUGAUGUAUCAACUUCAAAGUGCAAGGCUGCUAAGAAGAUAGUGUCAGAGAAGCUACUUGCUGGACUGAAAGAUGAGUACACCAAGGUGUUUGAUUACCAGCUUGAACUACUUAGGAGCAAUCCUGGGAGCACAAUCCUUGUUGGCUUGGACCCUGAAUACAUGGAUCAAAAUAUCUUCCAAAGCUUUUAUGUGUGCUUUAGUGCUAUGAAACAGGGUUUUAAAGCAUGCAGAAGAGUUAUUGGGCUUGAUGGUUGUUUUUUCAAAGGAGCAUGUCAAGGUGAGUUGCUAUGUGCUAUUGGUAGAGAUGCUAAUAAUCAAAUGUAUCCAGUAGCUUGGGCAGUAGUGGAGAAAGAAACAACCGAAACUUGGGAGUGGUUUAUUGGCCUGUUGAUAAAGGACUUGGAUAUUAAUGAUCAAGGUGAAGGAUGGGUGUUCAUAUCAGAUCAGCAGAAGGGCUUGAUCAGUGCAAUGCAAGACUACUUGCCAAAGGCACAACAUAGAAUGUGUGCUAGACACAUCUAUGCUAACUGGAAAAAGAAGUUUAGAGAGCAUGCUUUGCAAAAGAAAUUCUGGGCAAUUGCCAAGGCUGCAAACAGAGAAGACUUCAUGUAUAGGAAGGCCAAGUUAGCUCAAGAUACACCUGAAGGUGCAAGGGACAUAAUGAGGACAGAGCCUAAGCAUUGGGCAAGAGCAUUCUUUCCUGUUGGAUCCCUUUGUGACUCAGUGGAUAACAAUCUAUGUGAGUCCUUCAACAAUGCUAUAGUUGAGGCCAGAUUCUAUCCUAUCAUCUCUAUGCUAGAGAAAAUUAGACACAAGAUGACACUUAGAGUCCAAUAA